CGCGGAGUAGAGCAGAGGACAGCUCGCCGGCCCCAUUAGCCGGAGGUCAGAGGUUCGAAUCCUCUCUCCGCUACCA
rnacentral:tRNA from 1 species